AGCGAACGCUGGCGGCAGGCCUAACACAUGCAAGUCGAACGAAGUCUUCGGACUUAGUGGCGGACGGGUGAGUAUCACGUGGGAACGUGCCUUUAGGUUCGGAAUAACUCAGGGAAACUUGUGCUAAUACCGAAUGUGCCCUUCGGGGGUAAGAUUUAUCGCCUUUAGAGCGGCCCGCGUCUGAUUAGCUAGUUGGUGAGUUAAAGGCUCACCAAGGCGACGAUCAGUAGCUGGUCUGAGAGGAUGAUCAGCCACAUUGGGACUGAGACACGGCCCAAACUCCUACGGGAGGCAGGAGUGGGGAAUCGUGCGCAAUGGGCGAAAGCCUGACGCAGCCAUGCCGCGUGAAUGAUGAAGGUCUUAGGAUUGUAAAAUUCUUUCACCGGGGACGAUCAUGACGGUACCCGGAGAAGAAGCCCCGGCUAACUUCGUGCCAGCCGCCGCGGUAAUAC
rnacentral:rRNA from 1 species